rnacentral:rRNA from 1 species
AGCAGCCGCGGUAAUUCCAGCUCCAAUAGCGUAUAUUAAAGUUGUUGCAGUUAAAAAGUUCGUAGUUGAAUUUCGGGAUCAAUACGUUGGUCGUGCUUUCGGGUACGUACUGGCGUCAUUGGUUUCUCUCUUCUGACGAACCAUGAUGUCAUUAAUUUGGUGUUAUGGGGAGUUAGGACUGUUACUUUGAAAAAAUUAGAGUGUUUAAAGCAGGCUCACGCUUGAAUACAUUAGCAUGGAAUAAUGAAAUAGGACGUUUGAUUCUAUUUUGUUGGUUUCUAGGAUUGACGUAAUGAUUAAUAGGGAUAGUUGGGGGCAUUAGUAUUCAAUUGUCAGAGGUGAAAUUCUUGGAUUUAUUGAAGACUAACUACUGCGAAAGCAUUUGCCAAGGAUGUUUUCAUUAAUCAAGAACGAAAGUUAGGGGAUCGAAGACGAUCAGAUACCGUCGUAGUCUUAACCAUAAACUAUGCCGACUAGGGAUCGGAUGAUGUCAAUUUUUUAAUGACUCAUUCGGCGCCUU